rnacentral:rRNA from 1 species
AUUGAACGCUGGCGGCAUGCUUUACACAUGCAAGUCGAACGGUAACAGGCCGCAAGGUGCUGACGAGUGGCGAACGGGUGAGUAAUGCAUCGGAACGUGCCCAGUCGUGGGGGAUAACUACUCGAAAGAGUAGCUAAUACCGCAUACGAUCUAUGGAUGAAAGCGGGGGACCGUAAGGCCUCGCGCGAUUGGAGCGGCCGAUGUCAGAUUAGGUAGUUGGUGGGGUAAAGGCUCACCAAGCCAAAGAUCUGUAGCUGGUCUGAGAGGACGACCAGCCACACUGGGACUGAGACACGGCCCAGACUCCUACGGGAGGCAGCAGUGGGGAAUUUUGGACAAAGGGCGCAAGCCUGAUCCAGCAAUGCCGCGUGCAGGAAGAAGGCCUUCGGGUUGUAAACUGCUUUUGUACGGAACGAAACGGCUCUGGUUAAUACCCGGGGCUAAUGACGGUACCGUAAGAAUAAGCACCGGCUAACUACGUG